rnacentral:SRP_RNA from 1 species
GCCGGACAUGGUGGCACAUGCCUGUAAUCCCAGCUACUUGGGAGGCUGAAGCAGGAGAAUCGCUUGAACCCAGGAAGCGGAGGUUGUGGUAAGCCGAGAUCACGCCACUGCACUCCAGUCUGGGAGUGCACUCCAACAAGGAGUUUCGCUCUUUUUGCCCAGGCUGGAGUGCAGUGGCGGGAUCUCAGCUCACCGCAACCUCCACCUCCCGGGUUCAGGUGAUUCUCCUGCUUCAG